rnacentral:sRNA from 1 species
GCCGGGCAUGGUGGUGCGUGCCUGUAAUCCCAGCUACUUAGGAGGCUGAGGCAGGAGAAUCGCUUGAACCCGGGAGGUGGAGGCUGUAGUGAGCCAAGAUUGCACCAUUGCACUCCAGCCUGGGUGACAGAGCGAGACUCCGUCUCGA